AGUGAACGCUGGCGGUAGGCCUAACACAUGCAAGUCGAACGGCAGCACAGUAAGAGCUUGCUCUUACGGGUGGCGAGUGGCGGACGGGUGAGGAAUACAUCGGAAUCUACUUUUUCGUGGGGGAUAACGUAGGGAAUCUUACGCUAAUACCGCAUACGACCUACGGGUGAAAGCAGGGGAUCUUCGGACCUUGCGCGAUUGAAUGAGCCGAUGUCGGAUUAGCUAGUUGGCGGGGUAAAGGCCCACCAAGGCGACGAUCCGUAGCUGGUCUGAGAGGAUGAUCAGCCACACUGGAACUGAGACACGGUCCAGACUCCUACGGGAGGCAGCAGUGGGGAAUAUUGGACAAUGGGCGCAAGCCUGAUCCAGCCAUACCGCGUGGGUGAAGAAGGCCUUCGGGUUGUAAAGCCCUUUUGUUGGGAAAGAAAAGCAGCAGGUUAAUACCCCGCUGUUCUGACGGUACCCAAAGAAUAAGCACCGGCUAACUUUGUG
rnacentral:rRNA from 1 species